rnacentral:rRNA from 1 species
AUUGAACGCUGGCGGCAGGCCUAACACAUGCAAGUCGAACGAGUGGCGGACGGGUGAGUAAUGUCUGGGAAACUGCCCGAUGGAGGGGGAUAACUACUGGAAACGGUAGCUAAUACCGCAUACCAUCGGAUGUGCCCAGAUGGGAUUAGCUAGUAGGUGGGGUAACGGCUCACCUAGGCGACGAUCCCUAGCUGGGCUGAGAGGUUGACCAGCCACACGGGAAAGGAGACACGGUCAAGACUCCAACGGGAGGCAGAAGUGGGGAAUAUUGCACAAUGGGCGAAAGCCGGAGGCAGCCAUGCCGCGUGGAGGAAGAGGGCCUUCGGGUUGUAAAGUACUUUCAGCGAGGAGGCGUUACUCGCAGAAGAAGCCUCGGCUAACUCCGUGCCAGCAGCCGCGGUAAUAC